AGGGGUAUAGUUCUUCGGAGCUAGAGACCGGCGCACGGGUGCGUAACGCGUAUGCAAUCUACCUUUUACAGAGGGAUAGCCCAGAGAAAUUUGGAUUAAUACCUCAUAGUAUGUGAGAAUCGCAUGGUUUUCACAUUAAAGUCACAACGGUAAAAGAUGAGCAUGCGUCCCAUUAGCUUGUUGGUAAGGUAACGGCUUACCAAGGCAACGAUGGGUAGGGGUCCUGAGAGGGAGAUCCCCCACACUGGUACUGAGACACGGACCAGACUCCUACGGGAGGCAGCAGUGAGGAAUAUUGGACAAUGGGCGCAAGCCUGAUCCAGCCAUGCCGCGUGCAGGAUGACGGUCCUAUGGAUUGUAAACUGCUUUUGUACAGGAAGAAACACUCCCUCGUGAGGGAGCUUGACGGUACUGUAAGAAUAAGGAUCGGCUAACUCCGUGCCAGCAGCCGCGGUAAUACGGAGGAUCCAAGCGUUAUCCGGAAUCAUUGGGUUUAAAGGGUCCGUAGGCGGUUUAAUAAGUCAGUGGUGAAAGCCCAUCGCUCAACGGUGGAACGGCCAUUGAUACUGUUAAACUUGAAUUAUUAGGAAGUAACUAGAAUAUGUAGUGUAGCGGUGAAAUGCUUAGAGAUUACAUGGAAUACCAAUUGCGAAGGCAGGUUACUACUAAUGGAUUGACGCUGAUGGACGAAAGCGUGGGUAGCGAACAGGAUUAGAUACCCUGGUAGUCCACGCCGUAAACGAUGGAUACUAGCUGUUGGGAGCAAUCUCAGUGGCUAAGCGAAAGUGAUAAGUAUCCCACCUGGGGA
rnacentral:rRNA from 1 species